UAUGAUGUUUGCAUUAUGCUC
rnacentral:piRNA from 1 species